UACGUAGGGGGCAAGCGUUGUCCGGAAUCAUUGGGCGUAAAGAGCUCGUAGGCGGCUCAGUAAGUCGGGUGUGAAAUUCUCAGGCUCAACCUGGGGACGCCACCCGAUACUGCUGUGGCUAGAGUCCAGUAGAGGAGUGUGGAAUUCCCGGUGUAGCGGUGAAAUGCGCAGAUAUCGGGAGGAACACCAGCGGCGAAGGCGGCACUCUGGGCUGGUACUGACGCUCAGGAGCGAAAGCGUGGGUAGCAAACAGG
rnacentral:misc_RNA from 1 species